CUCUAAUUAAUCGGAUGGAAAAUUUAAAAAUGUAAGUCAAGGUAACCUUCAGCAAUUAAAAGAACACUCUUCUUAUCUGCCCAAGUCUUACUGUGUUGUAUAUCGUCUAUAAUUUGUAUUUGUAAUUUACUGUUAUCUAACUAAUAAUUGUGAAUAAUAAUAAUUAUUGUUA
rnacentral:lncRNA from 1 species